AGAUUAAGUUAUUAAGGGCGCACGGUGGAUGCCUUGGCACUAGAAGCCGAUGAAGGACGUUACUAACGACGAUAUGCUUUGGGGAGCUGUAAGUAAGCUUUGAUCCAGAGAUUUCCGAAUGGGGAAACCCAGCAUGAGUUAUGUCAUGUUAUCGAUAUGUGAAUACAUAGCAUAUCAGAAGGCACACCCGGAGAACUGAAACAUCUUAGUACCCGGAGGAAGAAAAAGAAAAUUCGAUUCCCUUAGUAGCGGCGAGCGAAACGGGAAGAGCCCAAACCAACAAGCUUGCUUGUUGGGGUUGUAGGACACUCUAUACGGAGUUACAAAGGACGACAUUAGACGAAUCAUCUGGAAAGAUGAAUCAAAGAAGGUAAUAAUCCUGUAGUCGAAAAUGUUGUCUCUCUUGAGUGGAUCCUGAGUACGACGGAGCACGUGAAAUUCCGUCGGAAUCUGGGAGGACCAUCUCCUAAGGCUAAAUACUCUCUAGUGACCGAUAGUGAACCAGUACCGUGAGG
rnacentral:rRNA from 1 species